GACGAACGCUGGCGGCGUGCCUAAUACAUGCAAGUAGAACGCUGAAGGAGGAGCUUGCUUCUCUGGAUGAGUUGCGAACGGGUGAGUAACGCGUAGGUAACCUGCCUGGUAGCGGGGGAUAACUAUUGGAAACGAUAGCUAAUACCGCAUAAUAUUGACUAUUGCAUGAUAGUCAGUUGAAAGGUGCAACUGCACCACUACCAGAUGGACCUGCGUUGUAUUAGCUAGUUGGUGGGGUAACGGCUCACCAAGGCGACGAUACAUAGCCGACCUGAGAGGGGGGUCGGCCACACUGGGACUGAGACACGGCCCAGACUCCUACGGGAGGCAGCAGUAGGGAAUCUUCGGCAAUGGACGGAAGUCUGACCGAGCAACGCCGCGUGAGUGAAGAAGGUUUUCGGAUCGUAAAGCUCUGUUGUAAGAGAAGAACGAGUGUGAGAGUGGAAAGCUCACACUGUGACGGUAUCUUACCAGAAAGGGACGGCUAACUACGUG
rnacentral:rRNA from 1 species